GGGCCCGCACAAGCGGUGGAGCAUGUGGUUUAAUUCGAUGAUACGCGAGGAACCUUACCAGGACUUAAAUGCAUAACGAUCGGUUGAGAAAUCAACUUUUCUUCGGACGGUAUGCAAGGUGCUGCAUGGUUGUCGUCAGCUCGUGCCGUGAGGUGUCAGGUUAAGUCCUAUAACGAGCGCAACCCCUAUUCUUAGUUGCCAGCGGUUCGGCCGGGGACUCUAAGAAAACUGCCAGCGCAAGCUGUGAGGAAGGUGGGGAUGACGUCAAAUCAUCACGGCCCUUACGUCCUGGGCCACACACGUGCUACAAUGGUAGGUACAAAGGGCAGCCACUUGGCGACAAG
rnacentral:rRNA from 1 species